UACGAAGGGGGCUAGCGUUGCUCGGAAUCACUGGGCGUAAAGGGUGCGUAGGCGGGUCUUUAAGUCAGGGGUGAAAUCCUGGAGCUCAACUCCAGAACUGCCUUUGAUACUGGCAAUCUCGAGUCCGGAAGAGGUUGGUGGAACAGCUAGUGUAGAGGUGAAAUUCGUAGAUAUUAGCUAGAACACCAGUGGCGAAGGCGGCCAACUGGUCCGGUACUGACGCUGAGG
rnacentral:rRNA from 1 species